rnacentral:rRNA from 1 species
AAAUUGAAGAGUUUGAUCAUGGCUCAGAUUGAACGCUGGCGGCAGGCCUAACACAUGCAAGUCGAACGGUAACAGGAAGCAGCUUGCUGCUUUGCUGACGAGUGGCGGACGGGUGAGUAAUGUCUGGGAAACUGCCUGAUGGAGGGGGAUAACUACUGGAAACGGUAGCUAAUACCGCAUAACGUCGCAAGACCAAAGAGGGG